GCCGGCCUCUUCCCUCCGUCGCGACUCGCCCCGGCCAACCCCAGCCGCCGCUCCCCACUGGCCAUCCUCCCCGUCCACGGCUGCCACGCACGUCCCCGCACCAACCCACCACCUCGCCGCGGGGGCGCGUCCGCCGGGGCUGCCCUUCCACGCCGUCUCCGUCCGUCCCUGCUGCUCAACGGCCACGUCGGCCUCGGCGUCAAGUGCGCCAAGGAGGCAGCCACGGCCAUCCGCGGCGCCAUCAUCCUCGCCAAGCUCUCCAUCGUGCCCGUCAGGCGGGCUACUGGGGGAACAAGAACGGCCAGCCCCAUACCGUCCCAUCGCCAGUACGCGUGGAAUCGGCAGCAAAGUGGAGGAAUUUCAGGCGGAGGAAGGAUUUGGCCGGCAGCUCAGGUGCCCGCCCCCUGGGGGUCUGAAAUCGUGGCCGCCCGCGUCCCCCAGAAGGUGCUGCAGUUCGCCGGCAUCGAUGAUGUCUUCACUUCCUCUCGUGGAUCCACCAGUAGGUUCUACAGAUCAUCUCCCUCUUUGUUUGGGUCAAAGGAAAUUGUAUAUUGCCUGUUUUGAUAAGUUGGACAAGAGGCUGUCAGUUCUGUUCAUGGUUGCACAUAUGCUCAGUUACUGUAUUAAGAAAGCUGCAGCCUGCCCAAGGGGCAGUCAAUCCACCAGGUUACAGUCCAGGCCAAGAAAUGGAACCGCCACCUUCACAACAGAACAUCACGAGCGAGUGGUCGAUGGACUGCCAAUGCUGCUCCAAAGGGGCUGACCUUCACCUCCCCGUGUCCCUGAACAAGAUGGACCAACGAGUUGUGACCGUGUCCUCUGCGAGAAGUGCAUCAAGGUGGCCAUCAAAUUGUCGCUGCUACUACUGCUCGACCUGUGCUCUGAACGGGGCUGACACCGCGUGCUGCUUGCCAUUGGAGCAGGCCAUGGAGCUUCUGCUUGCCAUGCGUGCCUCCUUCCUUCGGCAGAAGCACCAGGUCGCCACUGGAGCCGGACAAGGUCAUGAUGACUUGCCUUACCUGGUGAGGUAUUGGCUAGGAAGAGUGCAAGCCGCCACCACCAUGUACCAGAUGGCGCCAUCAAGGACAUCAUACUGCUGAUGAUCUACAGCUUAACUACAGAAAGUUGAAAUGUGCCUAGCUCGAACCCAUUUGUCACUCAAGCGUCUUCCUUUCUACUUCAUAUAUGGGUCUGCUUCUAUCUUUGCCUGUGUUGCUGAAGAUAGAAUGGAUCUUCUUAGGGCUGCGAUUAUUGGCCCUAAGGGAACACCCUACCAUGAUGGCCUCUUCUUCUUUGAUGCACAUUUUACCUCUAAUUAUCCUUCUGAGCCUCCGUUGGUGCAUUACCAUUCUGGAGGGCUUUGACUUAAUCCGAACUUGUAUAAUUGUGGAAAAGUCUGCCUCAUUGGUUUUAUAAACUACCAUGAGGGCUCUUCAUCUCCAGUCGCUGGUCCACUGCUUCUCUGGUUUUAUAAAAAGAGCUGCAGUAACAACUAAGCAUCCGAUAUAUAAUAACAUCAUUAAAGGGGCACGGAGUGGCGAUCCAAUAUACACCGGCGAUGAAGGAAGUGGGGAUGGACAUUCGUGGAUUUGCCGUCCCUGAUUUGCUUUGUGGAGGACACAUGCCCAUGAUUCAUAAUGAUUUGCGGCAGUCUUAGAAGAAAAUUUCCCAUUGCUUUCAUCCCCUUUUGAGUGUCAAUUGCAAAGUUCAUCCGUUGGUGAAAGGAAACUGUACUCUUCUUUGUUUUAGUGCUCUGUCUCCCUACUUCUAUGACAGAAUGGUGUGGCUUUGUGUACAGUAAAUGUUCUCUACUCUUGCAUCCCAUGUAUUACUAUUGACAUGGUUUGUCUACACUUAUCUUUAAGGCUACAACCUGGAGUCUCAUAGGUGUGUGAAGAUGAUCUAGGGCAUUGCUUCGUUAGGGGUUCACUUAUGUACAAGAAUGGCAUGUUCUUUCACGUGUAAUAUAUUGUGGUUUUUUCUACUCGACACCACCUGGACCAUGAUCACCGUAACCUGCUCUAUGGUUUGGAUCUGAGCACUGGACCAUGGUGCUGGACAGGGCACGACGCCCUAAAGACCGCUCUUUGGAAUUCCAAUAUACUUAGAUAGAUAGAAAUGAAAGUUGAGGACUAACAUGUAUGUUGUAUCGUGGAUGCCCCCCUUCAUAGCAUUGUUUUAUGAAAUGCACUAAUACUCCGAGAAGUUGUUUUGAGUAUAUUUGUUACAACAAGUAUGCUUUGGUAUGAAAUUUGCCAAUAUCGUGUGAUGAACCUUGA